rnacentral:rRNA from 1 species
CCUACGGGAGGCAGCAGUGAGGAAUAUUGGUCAAUGGGCGCGAGCCUGAACCAGCCAAGUAGCGUGAAGGAUGACUGCCCUACGGGUUGUAAACUUCUUUUAUAAAGGAGUAAAGUGAGGCACGUGUGCCUUUUUGUAUGUACUUUAUGAAUAAGGAUCGGCUAACUCCGUGCCAGCAGCCGCGGGAAUACGGAGGAUCCGAGCGUUAUCCGGAUUUAGUGGGUUUAAAGGGAGCGUAGAUGGGUUGUUAAGUAAGUUGUGAAAGUUUGCGGCUCAACCGUAAAAUUGCAACUGAUACUGGCAGACUUGAGUGCAGGAGAGGUAAGCGGAAUUCGUGGUGUAGCGGUGGAAUGCUUAGAUAUCACGAAGAACUCCGAUUGCGAAGGCAGCCUACUAAACUGCCACUGACAUUGAUGCACGAAAGUGUGGGUAUCAAACAGGAUUAGAUACCCGAGUAGUC